CAAUACUAUAAACCAACUUUUUAGAGCGUCUCCAAAGAUGAUGUACCUUCAGUCGCUGCAGAUUAAUCAUUGGGUCUUAAAACCAGGGAAUUACCGUCGUCUGACUUUGUGCCAUCAACCCUCAACUGAAAUGCACAUGGGCCUCUUUUUAUUUAUUCUCUCGUUUAAAUUUUGUCCUGCUGCAGUUAAGCAUUCAGUAACCUUUAUCUUGACCGUGUGCGUGAGAGGAGCUCCUUGAUGAACUGAGGUUGGUGUGAAGUCGGCUCUGUCUGUUACCUCAACCAUAGCUUUAGGAAACCAAGAAUUACCAUUGUAAAGUGCUGAUGUUUUAAACACGGCACAGCUAGUUUUUUUUUUUUAAAUCUCUGUUUAGUCGUAGUACUUGGCGGCCAGUGUCUUCAUUUAAUCGCCCCUUUAUAACCUGGUAGUUGGACUAAAUUGUCAUUUUGUUAUAUUUCUUUCAGGUUGGAUCUUAAUGACUGGGGAGUUCUGGAGUGAAAGGUUAAGUUAUGCAUCUUUCUCACCAGCAUCCUUGUGGAGAUGCCAAAUGAAUUGCUGUAGCAUUCACAACACACAAGCGCGCAAGCCGCACAACGCCGACAGAUGAAACCGAUGAAAGGGGCUGAAUACGGUGGCGAAGAGAAGUGGUCCUUGAUGUCCCCCAGGUGUGUCACUGUGUGUGUGCAUCGACGUCUGGGCUGUGGGACAAAAUAAGACCCCCGGAACCAUCUCGGGAUGGUUUGUCCUUCUGUCCUUCCUACUCUCUUGAAGGGGAUUUUAAAUCCAAUCAAAUUAUACAUAUUUUUCUGGAUGGAUCCUUGAACAAUUUCCCAAUGUCAAAUUUUUGCUUCAAAAAUGUUGCUCGGCCCUUCAGAACUCAUAGCUCGUGUUUAAGCGUUUUUUUGUUUCAAUGAUUACGGAUAAAUAACAUUUUGUUUGUUAAUUGAAGAAAGACAGAUUAUAAACCUAUUAUGAUUGGAUCUGACCGAAUAAAAUUCCAUUUUAAAAGAAACACUAGGAACCUUUCACUGUCCAAUGAUAUCAUAUGCCGGCCAUGUCAGUGUAACAUGACUUCCUAUCGUAAAUGUUUUUAGGUUUUUCAUUUAAUUCCUGCUAGGGUACUAGGGGUUUUAUAAAUCAAUCUCAGUUGACUUAACUUGAUUGAAGAUAAUUGUGUUGCCUGUUAUAUAUAUAUUGAUGUGUGUUUGUUUUCCUGGUUUAAACUGGCAGUUAAGUAAUUAAAUAGUAAAACUAUAAUAAAGAUCAAAAAGAAUGAAGAGAA
ensembl:lncRNA